rnacentral:rRNA from 1 species
UACGAAGGGGGCUAGCGUUGCUCGGAAUUACUGGGCGUAAAGGGUGCGUAGGCGGGUUCUUAAGUCAGAGGUGAAAUCCUGGAGCUCAACUCCAGAACUGCCUUUGAUACUGGCGAUCUCGAGUCCGGGAGAGGUGAGUGGAACUGCGAGUGUAGAGGUGAAAUUCGUAGAUAUUCGCAAGAACACCAGUGGCGAAGGCGGCUCACUGGCCCGGUACUGACGCUGAGGUGCGAAAGCGUGGGGAGCAAACAGG